rnacentral:tRNA from 1 species
GCCUGGGUGGCUCAGUCAGUUAAGCGUCUGACUUCAGCUCAGGUCAUGAUCUCACAGUUUGUGGGUUCGAGCCCUGCGCCGGGCU